rnacentral:tRNA from 5239 species
GGAAGUGUGGCCGAGCGGUUGAAGGCACCGGUCUUGAAAACCGGCGACCCGAAAGGGUUCCAGAGUUCGAAUCUCUGCGCUUCCGCCA